rnacentral:misc_RNA from 1 species
ACUUUGAAUCAAAUAUGCUAAACAAAAGUUAUGACCAUUAUAGCUGACUCCAAAGGACUUGAAAAACAACACACUAAUAACAGCACUCAAUUCCAUUAUCUACCACAGAAACUAAAUAACAAGGCUAACAUGUUUAACUCUGCUCCUCAGCUUCUGGAGCCACCUCCCUCUCCUCUGCAGCAGCAGCCAUUAACUCGUCGAAGUUCUCAGUUUUCCCCAACACUAUCUCAAUCUUAGCCUUCUGGAUAGGCCUUCCUCUGGACUCAUCCUUCAUAUCAACUGUCGAUGUCAUAAUUUUCUUUUCGACAGCAAGCCCGUUGUUUUUUAAGAUCUCCGCAAUGGUUACAACAGUAGCAAUUGCCAUCCCGAGAGCCGAGAGCUCCACUUCAUUAUGCUGCUGCAUGUACCGCUUCGCCAGAUUGACGUAG